UCAGGACGAACGCUGGCGGCGCGCUUAACACAUGCAAGUCGAGCGGUAAGGCUCCUUCGGGAGUACACGAGCGGCGAACGGGUGAGUAACACGUGGGCAACCUGCCCCCGGCUCUGGGAUAAGCCUGGGAAACUGGGUCUAAUACCGGAUAUGACCGCUGGCCGCAUGGUCUGGUGGUGGAAAGUUUUUUCGGCUGGGGAUGGGCCCGCGGCCUAUCAGCUUGUUGGUGGGGUAAUGGCCUACCAAGGCGACGACGGGUAGCCGGCCUGAGAGGGCGACCGGCCACACUGGGACUGAGACACGGCCCAGACUCCUACGGGAGGCAGCAGUGGGGAAUAUU
rnacentral:rRNA from 1 species